GGCGAACGCUGGCGGCGGGCCUAACACAUGCAAGUCGAGCGACGGAACAGUGCGAGCCCGGGGGCAAGGCAGCGAACUGGUGGGUGAGAGGGGGGUAACCUACACCGAUAACCUUGACAACCCGUGGAGACGCGGGCUAAUACCUGAUGUGCCCACUGGACUUCGGUUCAGUGCGUAAGGGAAUCUGCCCUCUCCGGAUCGGAUGAGCCGCGUGGCGCAUUAGUUGGUUGGGGAGGUAACGGCUAACCAAGACGGCGAUGGGUAGCUGGUCUGAGAGGAGGAUCAGCCACACUGGGACUGAGACACGGCCCAGACUCCUACGGGGGGCAGCAGUGGGGAAUAUUGGGCAAUGGGCGAAAGCGUGACGCAGCAACGCCGCGUGGGUGAAGAAGGCCUUCGGGUUGUAAACCCCUUUUAGGAGGGACGAAGGUCCGGCGGUGAAUAGCCGUCCGGACUGACGGUACCUACACAAGAAGCCCCGGCUAACUACGUG
rnacentral:rRNA from 1 species